AUUGAACGCUGGCGGCAGGCCUAACACAUGCAAGUCGAGCGGAUGAGUGGAGCUUGCUCCAUGAUUCAGCGGCGGACGGGUGAGUAAUGCCUAGGAAUCUGCCUGGUAGUGGGGGACAACGUUUCGAAAGGAACGCUAAUACCGCAUACGUCCUACGGGAGAAAGUGGGGGAUCUUCGGACCUCACGCUAUCAGAUGAGCCUAGGUCGGAUUAGCUAGUUGGUGAGGUAAAGGCUCACCAAGGCGACGAUCCGUAACUGGUCUGAGAGGAUGAUCAGUCACACUGGAACUGAGACACGGUCCAGACUCCUACGGGAGGCAGCAGUGGGGAAUAUUGGACAAUGGGCGAAAGCCUGAUCCAGCCAUGCCGCGUGCGUGAAGAAGGUCUUCGGAUUGUAAAGCACUUUAAGUUGGGAGGAAGGGCAGUAAGUUAAUACCUUGCUGUUUUGACGUUACCAACAGAAUAAGCACCGGCUAACUUCGUG
rnacentral:rRNA from 1 species